CACAACCCAUUCUGGGACUGGUGAACUUCACAUUUUUUAUGGUCCAAUUUUCGAGGAAACCUUUCUCUCCAUUUUCCUUAUCUCUUCUUCUACGCAAGAGAGAGACUGCAUCUAUUCUUUUUCUUCUCCGCUGACUUCCAUCACCACCACGCACACCACUUCCUUCACCACCACAGAUCAAGCAACCACCAUCAACAACUUCCAUCAUCAUAACAACACUUCUCCCUUGAUUUAGUUUGCAUACACAUAAUCAACGAAAACCCCAAGAACCCUAGAAUAUAAAUCUGGAUUGUUUGUACCUCACAGAUCGAAACUCAUUGUUAGAAACCAAGGAUUUAUCCUAACCCAUAUCUCAAAAUCAAAACCCAUGUAUCAGCAGAAAUCAAAAGUAAACUUUGUAAUACUAGAUCUAUUUGUUUUGCUCUUGAAAUCACCAGGUAGGGUGUAACUCAACAAGGGUAGAAGAUGUCUUCUCAUACUCCUUUUAGGUUGAGGAAAACAUCUGCAAUUUGCAAAGAAGGAUUUAACCCUAUCAUAGAUUAAUAUUAAUUAAUUUCAUGAUUUAGAUUACCAUAUGAAGGAGACGUGUUUUGUAUUUUUCCUAGUAUUACAUUUCAAGCUGAUUAUCCAUUCAAACCCCAAGAUGAUGGAGGUACAGAUUUCAUGGACUCCCAUACUAUCAUGAUAUUUAAUCUUUCAUAUUGAAAAACAGAUGGAGGUACAGAUUUCAUGGACUCCCAUACUAGUAAUUCAAUGGCAAUCUUACGAGCAUAUGAGUUUGUGGAGUGCAUCGUUAAUUAAUUUGGGAGAGAGUUCAACAUGUACUAGCAUUAGUUGGUGACCAGCUUGACUAUGGAGAGAACAUAUGCGGAGCAGUAUUGAGCAUCCGUUUUAAUGAAGACAUAUUGAGCGUCUGGAACCGCAAUGCAGCUGACCACCAGGCUGUGAUGGCUCUAAGAGAUGCAAUCAAGAGACAACUGAAGCUUCCUCAGGAAACUUUCGGCACUGCUGACAAGUGACAAAAGUUUCAUUCGUACCCUCGAAGGAAGAAGCUCAAGAUACUGCAACACUUGAAGCAGCGGCUGAAGAUAAAGAAUCUCCAGUGGUUUGAAUUUGGUAUUUGAAAGAUCAGCAUUCCUUUACUUUACUUACUGGAGACUGUAUCACUUUUACUCUUACUGCUAUGAGAUGACAGGUGAUCUUGUUAAAAUCAGAGAUUGAGUCAUUAUUAGCACAAUUGAAAUAUAUCUGAAUUAUUUAUUCCUGGAGGCUUGUUGAAAUCAGAGCUAGUCAUUUAUCUGGAAUGUGUUGUUAUAGGUAUUUGGAUGAAGUAUGAAGUCUGCAAUGUUAAGAAUGAUGACAUCUCAUUAGCUAUUGUUAUUGUCCUGCAUCUUCUUAUUUUCUAUAAACUAUAAAUGAAUAUUUAUACAAAUAGUUGGUUGGUGUUGGAUUGAAUUCAAUCUUCUAGUGUGUAUGUUUAUGCUAACAGAUCCGCUCCUCUCGUUGCAGGAAAUAACUAGUUCUCCGCAUCCUCUUGACAAAAGUGAAUCAGUUCUCAGUAAGCUCAAACUGAAAGUACUUCACUUUUACUAACUCAUUUGAUGAUUUGUCUUAUCAUUUAGUUGUAGUACAUACUUAGUGGAGUUGCUUCUUUCUUACGCUUAUAUCUUUCCAAUUUGUAAGCGGAAGAUUUCCACCUUGUUUAAUCUCAAAACAUGGAGCUUGCAACAAUAAGUAUUUUUCAGAUAUAUAUUUCAUAUUUAUGGAAAGCUUUCACCCCCUUGUUGUAAGCUUUCUAACCCUCGAAUGCAUCUUUUAUAUUAAUUAUUUAGUAUGCAUAUAAGUCUAUUUUUAUAAUGGAUGGAUAAAAUAGCCAGUACACAACGAGUUGCAUGUAUCCCAUGAGUGCAUUGUGGGUAAACAUAUAUUCAAACUUGCACAAAUCUGAUUGUUCUUGGGUUUCUCAGGAUCUUUAUUCAAGUACUAUGUAGUCGUAGUACCCUUCCUCUUUAUGUCAUCAUAUCAAUGGAAUAGUAACACCUUUAAUCUACAAAACUUAUCUUUUUUUCUUGCUUUCAGUGAUGGUCGUAUCUCUCAUGAUUUACUUACUUUCCUCUGAUUUCGUUUAGAUGGGAAGUUCACUCAACAAGGCUAUAUUUCGCUAGCAUGAACAAGUAGGAUUGAUCAGCUGGGUGAAAAAAGUAAAGAAGAGAGGUUUGAGAGCAACAACUGUAAAUGGAUCAACUCAAGGUGGUUACACAGGCAGGUCACUGGAGUGAUGGUGUUAUUCUAUAUCAGUUUAGGAGCAUAGUAGUGUAAUGGAGAAGCAAUAUGAUUUGGUUCUUAGGGAGUAGACAUCUCUUUGUCGGUGCAAUUCAACAAGUAAUAUCCAAUUUUGUCAAUGGCCGAUCAACGCUUGUGUCAAGAUAGCUGGAUUGCAGUUGAUGCCGAUAUUAGAAGAACAUUUGAACAUCCCUGGUCAUCAGUAUGUGGAAUGCUUUUGAAAGGUACUCUAUUAUUAAGUGUGGGCUCAGUUCAUCAUUGGGGAGGGGAAUUUACCAUUUUGUUGGUGAAUUUCACUUGUCUUUAAGCUUAAAUAUAUUGUUCUGAACUCAUGAUUUAACUUUGAACCUAAUUAAUACAAUGAAUGCUAAAUGGAAAGUUUAUUUUGAAUAUAUAAGUGCAAGUUUUAGUUUAGCUUCAA